rnacentral:rRNA from 1 species
AUGGAAAAACUCCUCUCGGUUGGAGGAAAAGAGGUACUGAUCAAAUCGGUCACCCAAGUGGUGCCAGUGUUUUCAAUGUCCUGUUUCAAACUGCCUCGUGGCCUCAGUGAACAUUUUAACUCCCGGAUUAGAAAGUUUUGGUGGGGUAGCAAAGAAGGACAAAGAAAGCCUAGCUGGGUUACUUGGAGUACCAUGACAAGGCCAAAAAAUUGUGUAGGUCUAGGCUUCCAGGAUGUCGAGAUCUUCAACCUUGCAUUGCUGGCCAGACAAGCGUACAGAAUUUUGAAGGAUCCAGAGGCCCUAAGCGCGGGGGUGCUAAAGGACAAAUAUCAUCCAAAUUCAUAUUUCUUGCAAGCCGAGCUUGGUUCAGCCCUGUCCCAGAUAUGGAGAUCAGUACUGGAGGGGAGAGAUGUGCUGAAGCAAGGCCUUAUUCGUUGCAUUGGGGAUGGCCAAACAACGAACAUCUGGGACCACAAUUGGAUUCCUAGACCAUCAAAUAUGAGGCCUAUCGCAUGCAGAACUGCUAACCCGCCCCAAUGGGUGGGGGAAUUGAUCUUGCCAGGAGGAGAAUGGGAUAGAGGAACGAUUACUCAGGUCUUCCUUCCUACAGAUGCCGAGGCCAUCAUGUCAAAACCCUUAUCACACGGCAUAUCCAGGACUUUUGGUCGUGGGUCCAUGAGAUGA